UGAGUCAUAGGAGCCACAAAGAAAGCU
rnacentral:piRNA from 1 species